AGCGAACGCUGGCGGCAUGCCUAACACAUGCAAGUCGCACGGGCGGGCUUCGGCCCGUCAGUGGCGGACGGGUGAGUAGCGCGUAGGGAUCUGUCUCUGGGUGGGGGACAACCGCGGGAAACCGCGGCUAAUACCGCAUGAGGCCUGAGGGCCAAAGCCCGCGAGGGCGCCUGGGGGGGAGCCUGCGUCCGAUUAGCUUGUUGGCGGGGUAACGGCCCACCAAGGCGGCGAUCGGUAGCUGGUCUGAGAGGAUGAUCAGCCACACUGGGACUGAGACACGGCCCAGACUCCUACGGGAGGCAGCAGUGGGGAAUAUUGGACAAUGGGCGCAAGCCUGAUCCAGCAAUGCCGCGUGGGUGAAGAAGGUCUUCGGAUUGUAAAGCCCUUUCGGCGGGGACGAUGGUGACGGUACCCGCAGAAGAAGCCCCGGCUAACUUCGUGCCAGCAGCCGCCGUAAUAC
rnacentral:rRNA from 1 species